AUUAUUAUUAUUAUUAUUAUAUAUAAAAUAAUGUGAUGAUUUGGUUGCCUGGCCUAUAUAAUGGUGGAUCGUUUUACAAAAAAUUCAUGUCAAGAGUCAUUAUAGAGAUUAAUUGAAAUCAUGAGACAAAAUAAGAAAGGGUUUAUUUCUCUCAUAAUGUUUCUUGUUGUGCUUGUUGAAUUAGUGGAUUCUCUUAACCGUUCUAAUUUUCCAGAUCAUUUCUUAUUUGGGACAGCCUCCUCUUCGUACCAGUAUGAAGGUGCAGCAAAUGAAGGGGGCAGAGGACCAAGUAUAUGGGAUACCUUUACUCAAAGAUAUCCAG